rnacentral:rRNA from 1 species
UAAGGAAUAUUGCUCAAUGGGAGAAAUCCUGAAGCAGCAGCGCCGCGUGGAGGAUGAAGGGUCUAUGACUUGUAAACUCCUGUAAAAAAGGAAAAAAUUCCCAUUAGAUGGGAGAUGAUGGUACUUCUGGAGUAAGCCCCGGCUAACUACGUGCCAGCAGCCGCGGUAAUACGUAGGGGGCAAGCGUUGUCCGGAUUUACUGGGUGUAAAGGGUGCUCAGGCGGAUUUGUAAGUCAGAGGUGAAAUCUUACAGCUUAACUGUGAAACUGCCUUUGAUACUGCAAGCCUAGAGUAUGGAAGAGAGUGAUGGAAUAUCUGGUGUAGCAGUGAAAUGCGUCGAUAUCAGAUAGAACACCAAUGGCGAAGGCAGUCACUUGGUCCAGUACUGACGCUAAAGCACGAAAGCGUGGGUAGCAAACA